GUAGAAGUGUUCAGUCAGAUAAAACUAUCUGAGAAUGCCAGUGUCUCCCAGGCCACCCACUUUCCUGGAGAAUUUUGAGAAUGUCUUUUGUCCCAGCCCCACAUAGAGAAGAAUCCUACCAGGCAAUACCAAGGCCUCCAGCCCCCACGCGCAUGCUAGGCCUCCUUAUCCGGGUCAGGACGAACCAGAGGAGGCCUACGGGGAGAAAUAAGGAGACAGAGGGACAACGCAUAGAGAGGAGCAACAGAGAGUUGGGGGCAGAGUCAGGGAGAUGCGGGAUGCGCCCUCGGGAGCAAGGUCGCCCAAGCCGUAUAGGAGGGGAAGGGAGGACGGAUCGCGCAGGCUCUGAUAGCCCAGCCCAGCCCCGCGAGGCUCCCAGGUUUCCUGUCUGUUUCUCCUCCCAGCUCCUCUUCCUCUCUUGUGAAAUUUCUCCCCAGAGCCUCUCCUGUGCCAGCCUGUCUCUGCUUCUGUAUGUAUUUCUUCCUCUGCCCGGUGUCGGCGACUGUCCGUGGGUCUCUCCAUCUCGCGUCUGUCUCUGGUCUCCAGUUCAGCCUCCCGGCCUGGCCCUCUGGGUGGACGGUGCUCCUGGCGCCCCUCCCCGGGCAGCACUAUUGGCGGAGAGGUGACGAGAAGGCGGUGUCUAGCCGCCCUCCGAGGGCGGGAUUAGUCGCGGGGAACCAAAGGCGGGCAGGAGGUGGGCCCGGCUGGGAGGCGGGCGGGGCCACUGGGGCCGAGCCCAGAGCCCCGGGCGGUCGCAUUGUUUUCCUCCGCGGAUCCGCGGCUGGACUUGGACCCAGGGCUCUCCCGACAGCGCCCUGGAACCCAAAUUCAAGCACCAUCCAAUUCGGACGCUCAUCGCAUCUCGCCUGAGCACAACCACGGAUUGCGAACUCAGCGCAGCGCGUGGCCGCUGGCCGCCCGCGGCGAUCUCGAUCCCGCUGACCCGAAUCCUGGAGCAAGUACCCCGGGCAGGGAAGGGGCUGCGGGGAGGCGGGGAGGGAGCAGGAGGGCGCGGCCGGCGGGGGGCAAGCUUCUGAAGCGCUAGGGGACCAGGGAGGGUGUCGGCGCCCGGUGUGCCUGGCUGACGGAGAGGGUCAACGAAAUUGGGGUGCAGGGAGGAAGGAGGGACAGUGGCCGAGCCCCGUAACUGUACUGGUGAGAGCAGAGUCUGGGCACCUCGUUCAAUUGGGCUUUCGUCGAGUCGCAUCCCGCUGGACUGGGAAGCGCGAAAAGGGAUUAUUUAAGGCGCGCUCCAUAGAGAGGGUGGAAAACCUGGCCCCUUGCUUUCCCAGCAAGGAAACUAGGGCUCCGAGACCCACGGAGAACUAGACCCUCCUGACGCCCCUGAAGGGAUGGGAAGAGGGGCGCAUCGUUCCGGACUUUGUGUCACGGGUGCUCCUCUGUCCUUGUGCAAGCCGGAAUCUGAGCACCCUCUGAAGGGUUGGCUCGUGCAAAGAGGCGGCGAAUGGGGCCCUCGAGCAACAUCGGUCCCAGCGCCUAUCUCCUUCCUUCAGCCCGCUCGGCCCGGGGCUUUGUUAGACUGAGGUCUCCCAAGGAGGACAUCCGAGCUGGCAACUGCCUCCUGAGCCCACGGUCCCCACUGAGCGCCGGCCUCAGGCCCGCCCUCGUCGGUUCUCAGCCUCUGGCCCCGUUUCCCUGGCCUGGGAGACCCGCCUCCGCUCCCCAACCCCCGCUCCUAUCCCCUCUCCGUCUGCGCCUGCAGGCCCCUCCAGCCCCUCCUCUCGCUAACGUGGCUCUGGGACCCGGUCCCGGCCCAGACUCUGCUACCGGCCCCUCCUCGGAGCCCCGGAUCCGGUGAGGGGGAGACACGUCGAGCCCCUGGCCCUAGGCCCACCUCUUUUCGAGGCUUUAGACACCUGGAUUGUCCUGGUUGGGGGUUGGGUGGGAAGGAGGGUAGGUGCUGAGUGUGGGGCUAAGAGCUAAGAGUGGGGGAAAUGGCUUGGAGAAAGGAAAGCUCCGGUUCCACAGGCUCCUUGGCGCGACCCUGCUCCCUCUGAGGAAGGUGGACUGGGGCGGGCGACCAGCCCAAAGGCUUCCUGCUGUUGUCCCCAGCCCAGUCUCCCCUUCUCCAUCCCUUCCACAGCUCUCCUAGACUCUGGCUGUGACCCCAGCCACUCCCCAGAGGUGGCUUCGGGGCCAGGAGAGAGAAGGGCUGUUUCCUCUUCCCAGCAACGGGAGGAUCUGGAAAGGGGAGAGUCGGCCAGGUCUCUCCCAUGUGCUUCAGAUGGGGUGUGUGAAGCAGCUCGGAUUCUUCCAGGGCAGAGUGAUCUUUUCUCCAGGCCAGGAGUUGAGGAGCUGACCAGAUGCUGCUCCCCAGAAACAGCUACAAGAAGCCCUCUUAAAGGUGUAUCAUAGUUGAGUCUAGAGGGCCAAUGCAAAGGCCAGCCAAG
rnacentral:lncRNA from 1 species